rnacentral:rRNA from 1 species
UACGGAGGAUCCUAGCGUUGUCCGGAUUUAUUGGGUUUAAAGGGUGCGUAGGCGGAAUAUUAAGUCAGGGGUGAAAGCCGGUCGCUUAACGAUCGAAUUGCCUUUGAAACUGGUAUUCUUGAAUUUGAUUGAGGUAGGCGGAAUGUGUCAUGUAGCGGUGAAAUGCAUAGAUAUGAUACAGAACACCGAUUGCGAAGGCAGCUUACUAAGUCAACAUUGACGCUGAGGCACGAAAGCGUGGGGAGCAAACAGGAUUAGAUACCCUGGUAGUCCACGCCGUAAACGUUGAUAACUCGCUGUUAGCGAUAUACAGUUAGCGGCUAAGCGAAAGCGUUAAGUUAUCCACCUGGGGAGUACGGCCGCAAGGUUGAA